AUUGAACGCUGGCGGCAUGCUUUACACAUGCAAGUCGAACGGUAACAGGCCUUCGGGUGCUGACGAGUGGCGAACGGGUGAGUAAUGUAUCGGAACGUGCCCAGUAGUGGGGGAUAGCCCGGCGAAAGCCGGAUUAAUACCGCAUGAGAACUGAGGUUGAAAGCGGGGGACCUUCGGGCCUCGCGCUACUGGAGCGGCUGAUAUCAGAUUAGGUAGUUGGUGGGGUAAAGGCUCACCAAGCCUGCGAUCUGUAGCUGGUCUGAGAGGACGACCAGCCACACUGGGACUGAGACACGGCCCAGACUCCUACGGGAGGCAGCAGUGGGGAAUAUUGGACAAUGGGCGCAAGCCUGAUCCAGCCAUGCCGCGUGAGUGAUGAAGGCCCUAGGGUUGUAAAGCUCUUUCACCGGUGAAGAUAAUGACGGUAACCGGAGAAGAAGCCCCGGCUAACUUCGUG
rnacentral:rRNA from 1 species